CAGCCGCCGCGGUAAUACGAAGGGUGCAAGCGUUACUCGGAAUUACUGGGCGUAAAGCGUGCGUAGGUGGUUGUUUAAGUCUGCUGUGAAAGCCCUGGGCUCAACCUGGGAAUUGCAGUGGAUACUGGGCAACUAGAGUAAGGUAGAGGAUAGUGGAAUUUCCGGUGUAGCAGUGAAAUGCGUAGAGAUCGGAAGGAACAUCUGUGGCGAAGGCGACUAUCUGGGCCAUUACUGACACUGAGGCACGAAAGCGUGGGGAGCAAACAGGAUUAGAUACCCGCGUAGUCCCUGUCUCUUAUAC
rnacentral:rRNA from 1 species